rfam:Hammondia hammondi strain H.H.34 contig00346, whole genome shotgun sequence.
GCAGAGUUGGUGUAGUGGUCAUCACGUCUGCCUUACACGCAGAAGGUCGCGGGUUCGAUCCCCGCACUCUGUA